CAAAGGCACUUCUGCCCUGCCCAGACUCUCUCAGUGUCACUGCGGCAGCAGGACAGCGGUCAGAGGGGAGGCAGGUGCCCGACUCCACAGGAGGCUGCGGAACCGCGCCAGCAGCUGAACACCCAUCACACAUCCCGUGCUCUGUUCAGGCUGGGUGCCCAUUUCCAAAGGCACUGAAAAUUUCCAAUGGCAUUUCCCUCUUUCCAUUGACCAUACAGACCAUGGGGGUUCUGAGGUUCUGACUUUUAAAAGAUUACUUCUUAUCUGGAUACAAUUCAGGGUACCACUCGAUUGCUUCCAUUAGGCAGAUUGGAUGCACGUCUCCGUAUGAUGUUCUGCUAAAAUUGCAGUGGGAUCUACAAUGCCCAAGUGUCUCCCGCUGAUUUCAGCACUCGCUGCAGCAUUUAGGACUUGCUUAAGGAUGUCUCACCCCAGUUUUUGGAGCUGAUCUUCUCCAUGAGAACUUGUAGAACAGCUGCUAAGAUGUUUUGCAGUGUGGCAAAGAAGAUUGCCCAACCAUACCCUGCAGGAUGUGACACCCAGCCCAAGCCUGUGGGUGCUCUGUGUAAUAUGGGAAUGACCUAUAAAGAACCAAGUCAGAAAUUACCCUUGUCCUUUACAACCUUGUUUCCUAACUUAUGGAAGAUUGCAGAAAGUGGUUGUAUCAUGCAAUCAAGAGGAAGGGAGGGAAGAAAAGAAAUUUUAUAGGAGCCCACAGGAUUACACAGCUCUGUUGAAUGCUGAAACAAGUAGUUUCAAGUCAAGUAGUUACAAAAGAGUGAAGUAUAUGAAGGAGGCAUAAAAUCAAUGAAAGGGAGAUGAGAUGCCUCUCCUGACCAUCUGCCCAGCUGCAAGCUGGAAAAGCUUGGCAUAAAAAGUAGUGGCAGGCGUCGGAAAAGCUGGCCGACAAACUGGAGGAACUGGAGCUGGAGCUGGGCUAUUGAGGACCCAAUAAUCUCCUGAGUCACAGAAUUCACAAAAUUAAUGUGGACAGUGGUGCUCUGAUAUCCUACUUGGUUUGUGACAUUCAGUUUGACCUCGAUAUCCUAUUUUGGAACAAGACAAUGCCAUUACCUUAGCUGAGAAACAAGAGUCCAGGAAAGAAAAUUCUAGUAGGCUCCAUUUGAGGUACUGCAGAGAGAAGCAUGGAGGGAGGAGGCUAUAUCCAGAAGAACAACUCUCAGUGACGGCUGGUGCUGCCUGCAAUCCUGGCAGAGAUACAGCAAGAUCACACCUCUUUUUAUAGGUGUAAAAAAGGCCAACGACAAGAAACAAUCAAGAUGGAAGAAGAUAUUUUUGUUUACUCUGCAAAGUUGUUUGAGAAGUAGGCAUGUGCUAUUCUGUCCUUUCCACCUUUUUUCCUGGAUUACUUUGUCACUGGGACAGGUUCUAAUCUCCCCUAUAUGGAGAUAAAAACUCCAGUUUUUAUCUGGCAGUGUAAGUAACGUGGCCUUGCCUCUGUGAACUCUGCUUGCACUGAGCUUGCUUUGCUCUUGAGUGUGUCAGCUAUGUGCAUGUCAUCUGGGAAAGCCAGAGGAUUUCUCUGAGACUGACACAAAACUCACAUGGGAGUAAUUCCCUGAAGCAGAGCCACAACCUCAUAAUGGAUCUCUACACAGAGAGGGGAAGAGUGCUGAGAAGAAAUGCUGAUAUCAGGAGUGGUAACUGAAAGAUGCAGCUGCUGACAAGAGAAGGGAAGAGAGUCCCAAGAAGCUUAAAAGAGUGAACCUCAGCUAUCAAAACACCUUGCUGCUGCCCUGCUCUGAGGAUAACCUAACUCAAAUGCCUGAGAUAGGAAUUACCAGUAGGAUGGUGAUAAUUCAAGACUGCGAAAAACCAAAAAGUGAAAAAGCUAAAAGCUGUAUCUCUGUCUAAAACUUAAGCACCACUGAAAUCAAUUGGAAGGUUACUGCUGUCUUUGAUAGGAACAAGAGUUUACCUUCUGGAGACCUAUUUCUAGCAAUAUUUCUAGCAAUUAAGUGUGGUGUGGUCCUCUGAAAGCUUAUGGGGUAUAAAGCAGCGUGUGGGAGAAGGAUGCUGUCAUGAACAGUGGUUCACCCACCACCUUGUAGGAAGCUGUGGCAGAGGGGGGCCUUGGACAUGGUCUGAGGAGCCCCAGCAGCCACAGCCAGCCCUGUUUGCUGGUUGCAGAUGCUGCUUUUCUCUCAUUGACUGAACGAGGCCUGAACGCCACAAACGUCCAAAGGCAGAAGCGUUAAACUGGUAUUAUCCCACAGAGUGAAACAAAAAGAAGCACAAACAGAAUCAUGCAAAUCCAUGGGAUUAUUAACAUAUAUAAGAAAAUAAAAAUAACCCAAAAACCUGAACAUACUCAGUCCCAGCUCCCACUGGAGCAUGCUGCAGUGUGCUCACCUUUACCCGCAGGGAAGGGAUGGGAGAACAAAUACCAAAUGCCAGAUGUUCUAUUGCAUAAUGUAUUACUGGAAAAUGGAAUAAGGAUGAAUAUAUAGAUCAGUGGUGAAUAAUACAAAAUAACUAAAACCAAAAUUCACUCUCAUGCAAGAAGCACUAUAGUUAUCUACAGGAACCAGAGGAAACUCCAUUCUUUAUCAGAGUUUCAGCUAGACUUGACAGAGUACACUCAUCAGGAAUAUGCCUCAGAAACUGAUAAAUCAUAUUGUCUGGAUCACUUUAACAUCUCUAAAAAAAACCAUACUGUAGAAAAUUCUCAUUCAAUACGUUCAAUUCACAUACAAAGGGUUUGUUUUUUUACUUGGUAAGAUGGCAGAAGCCGACUGCCUUAUUUACACCCCUGAAGAUUUUCCUAUGUUAGAUACGAAUUAAGAAAAUAUCUUUUUAAUCUCUUUGAAGAAAAAAGAUUACUUUAAAAGUGACUGCUCCCCUUCUUCCAAAGACUAGAACUCAUUGUAAAACAGGCCUAUGAUUGGUCUCUUGGUGUAAACCUACGUGCAUUUGCCCAGGCCACCAACUCCUACCAGAUGGAAUCUGAACUCUGAGUCAGAGAGUUCCAUGAAAGCAACAGCUAACAGGGACUCUCCUGUGUCUCAGUGGCUGCUUUCUCUGAGCCACAUGUUCAUUCAUGCAGUGAAAUUUUAACUUAACUAUAGCUUGAAGGCAGCAUCUGUUCUGAGACACUUCAGGGUAAAGGGACCAGCAGGUACUGAGAUUGCAUUUUAACAGAUGGUUUCCUGGGUUCCUAUGCCACCUACUUCUAAAGAGCAAGGUCCAUGGCAUGCUUUAACCCUAAGAUAUGAUUUACAUGGAGGCAAACAGCUUGGUGCAGCACAGACUGCCUUUUGGAAGAACAGUUGAAAGUCAUCAGUUGUUUACCUCACCUCCGCUUUUCUCCAUGCCUUGCUCCUUCUGACUGUUUCCUGACUCCAGCAUCAUUAUUUGAGUACACCAUGAAACCACACACUGAGCCUGAGACUAUUUCUAGAGAAAUGCUUGUGAUACCUAUUGAGAAAGGGUAUGGCAACAUCAGGAUUGUGACAGAUGCCUGGAAGAAGGCAUGGAGGAGGAAAAAAAGACAGGUAAAGGUACAGAAAGUAAGUUUCUACAUAUUGUCCUGAUGAAUGCAGUAGAAACACCUUAAAGAGGUGCUGGAAGUGCUGAUAUAGAGAGCAAGUGCAAGCAAGUGGACAAAGACCAGUCAAUUGAAGUAUAUCAAGUAGCUUCAUCCUAAUGCUAGGGAAAGAGAAGGAAAAGGGAAGGGCAGGCUUAGAUAAUGAUAUUACUAAGGGCUUUAUCAUCUGGGCAUCCUUGAACAGAUGCUUAAGUUCAUGGUUUCAUGCUGUAGAACAGCACUGAGGCAUUGAACUUUGGGGUUUGGGAUGGAACAUGGGGUCGCCAUUUCAGGCAUCCAAACCAGAGUGCAGGAGUGCAACAAGAGAUCUGUGUUACUACAGCUUGAUGAAUGACUGCCCAUGAGCUCUACACACUAAUAUUAAACAACUUCAUCUUUCCUAUCUGCAAGACAAAAUGUGUGAACUGACCCUAAGAUGAAGGUGGAUCCCUUCCAAGGCACUGUGAGAGGAGUUUCAGCAGAUGCAUGUUGAUUGUUAUCCAGACAGGCUUAAAACAAACCUGAGGUGAUAUCUGAUAAGAUAUCAGAGAGAUGGCAAAAUCACAAUACCUACAUUGCUUUUAUUCAGAUAGUCAUAUAAAUAACCAUGGUUUUGGCACUGAUAGGCUACAGUUUUUCCCCAUAUAUCAUGGACUUUCCUUAUAAGAUGCACUAAAAAACUGCUCAAAGUUAUUUUUCCUUUCUUGGACCCCGUAGAAAUAUGAAUGUUAUAAAACUGCCCUGGGAAAAAAGAGAGAGGACUGAGUUUCAUACUAAUAGCUACAGGGUUUUUUUUUAAAUCCAAGCCCAGAUCACAAGGCAUCCCUUGUGUAUUAUAAAACACUCCAUGUAAAUAAAUCAUAAGCCUCUUAGGUGGAGGAGCAGUUAGGGACUGCUAGCCUUUCCCUUCAGGGCCUGCGCUCUGAGUAGUUUAGGAACCUCUCUUUUUUUCUGUGCUCCAGGCAGAUGUUUGAGUUCAGCUAAGUCAUUCCAGCAGGUAUUUCCCAACAUUCAUGUACCUUGGGAUACCCUGCAUCCCAAGCAAGCAGUCAUUGGAAUGGCUGGUGUAUGGUGAGAUCACUCACACACUCUGUUAGUACGGGACUAGUAAAAGUGUAGAGGACAAAGUCAAGAAAGCAGCUGAGUGUCACUAGGCCUUUUUUUGACAUGUUAAUUCAGUUUAUGAUGCAGAGGUAAUUAAAAAAAUCGUCAUUGCAUUGUUCCUCAAUUCAGGGAAGCACCAAAACUUCAGGAUGCCCAGCAGUAAUCUUUCUCAUGGCUGAAUCAAACUUUGUGUUUACAUGGCAUUUUCUGGUGUGAAAAAGUCUCUAUCAUUCUUCUGUCUCUUUAAGGAGUUUGAUCUUUACGUAUUCAAACACCUCUGGGUUCCAGUUCAAACUGGGCUGCUGAAUAAAAAAGUAAAUGUAAUAGAGGCCAUGUAAACAUUGCACACACAAGCACACUCACAGAUGAGCGGGAAAUGUACAGGUAAAUAGUGCAUCUGAGGCAUAUAUAUGCUUAAAUAGUGGGUUUGUGUGCCCUGGAUACUGUACUCUUGAAUGAACUUUCCCUCAGUGCAAAAGUGUAGUUUUCCAUCUUGUACUCGUAAUUUUUUCCCCGUAAAAAUAUUUUAAUUAUCUAAGUCCCACAAGCCCAAGAGCUCCAGAUGCAUAUUUUAGCUGUUUGUCAUAAUAACUAUCCAACAUAAAAAAUGACUACCCUUUCAGCCAGAAUGAGUUUGCACAAUGUUUAAUGUUGAAGUAGAACAGUAUUUCUAAUAGUGAAAUAAGUCCUUGUAACAGUGUCAUUUGUGAAACUAUAGAGCCAGCAGUGGAAAAAAAAGAUUUUUCUGGUUUUGCCAUCUGAUAUUCUUAAAAAUGAAAUAGGUCUCUAGAAGGUAAACUCUUGUUCCUAUCAAAGACAGCAGUAACCUUCCAAUUGAUUUCAGUGGUGCUUAAGUUUUAGACAGAGAUACAGCUUUUAGCUUUUUCACUUUUUGGUUUUUCGCAGUCUUGAAUUAUCACCAUCCUACUGGUAAUUCUUUGGGAAGAACUAUGUACCUACCGUACUAACCAAAAUCUUCUGCAAGGCUAAGUAAAUAAAAGUCAUAGAUGUUUUUCCUAAGCCAUCCUAACAGAUGAGUGAAACAAAGCACUGAUUUUUCCAGAGGGCCACACAACACACUGCUCACCAGGCUAUAAAUGUUGCUAGAUCAAGGCAAGGCAUGGAUCUAUCUGUCUGGUUUUAUAUUUCUUCUCCUGGGUGUAUCCAUCCACUUUGUUGGGGCCUGGCCAUGGAUGCAACAGAGAAACCCAAUAGAAUUGCAUGUAUGGAUGAAAAUGGAUGCAUGUUUCAGAGCAAACUGGAUUUGCACUGAUUUCAGGAGGCAAAAUUCACUGUCGUCUCCUGAGGAACAGGAUUUGGAUGUAUCUCUUAGGGACUUUUCUUCCAGACAUACCUAUCUCUAUCUCUUGGUGGAAAGUGCUUGCAGGGGGACAUACCAGAGGGAGGAGACUGCUUCAAGUCAGAUGUGGUCAAUGGAACAUCCACUUCUCAUCUCUACAUAAGACAAUGUCAUCCAUUUGUGGUCAAUGGAACAUCCACUUCUCAUCUCUAUAUAAGACAGUGUCCUCCAUUUCCCAAUUCUUUUUCAAACUGUUUAUUUUUCACUCUUGGUUAAUGAUUUUCCCAUAAGCAAUACUCUUUGUUUCUGGAAUUACUUGGGUGAUGCCCACUUAAUUGCCCUCUGCCCUUUUCACCUUGGAGUGAACUCAGAUAUGGAGAGUGAUUUACCUAAAAGGGAAAGUUCUUGCAGUCUUCAGUUAAAUAUUUACUUAUGCUUUUUUUGGUGUGCCUGGUCCUUGGUAUUCCCAAGUCCUCUGAGACAUCAGUAUCAAUUCCCACUGACUCUGCAGACACUCCCCUCCUCAAGAAGGGUUACUCAAUACUGUUCUGGACACAUUUUCUGCUACUUAACUUGACUGCAAAUAUUUUUGUAUUUGUGUUACUAAGGUCAACAGAGAUCUUGUGGACAAUUUCCUCCUGUUCUUAGAAAAGUAUGUGCAAGUGUGGUCAGGAUGCAGACGUUUCAAACUGGGUUCAGAGUGGACCGCAGGACCAGGCUGAAGAGCCUUGUGGCACUCAAAGAGGUGCUCCCUGCCUCUGUGAAAAUACCUGUGUGCUGUCAGUUUGAAAAGCACUGCUCAGGGUGGCAGCUGGCUGUGGCAAUCCAAACCCUCCCAUUUGGAUGCUCCUGUAAAAGCACCUGAGGUUAGAAGUUUUUUGUGUUUGUCUUGAAGAUGACUGAUCAGAUUUAAGACAAGCUGUUUUGAACAAGCCUUGAACGUGCCCACAGGGAUGGAAGGUAUUUGGGAGGGACAGUGCUAAGCCGUCUUUGUGCACGUUUAAUCUUAGGUUGCUGAUAAUGUUUGAAAAGUGUGGCAAAACCCUCACUGCACAGCAUGUACUUUGACACAGCACCAAGUCCUUGGUGGAAAUGUUGUUUUCUUCCCCUAAUGGUGAUCAGGCUACUAUCUACAUAUCAUGGGAUUUCUCCAAAAGGUACCCUGCGAUGCUUUUCCCAAUGUGCUUAACUUGUCCAUGGAGCUUGUUAUUAAAAAGUCCCACUGUCUGCAGCUGUACUACUAAAUGCAAUAGACCAGUGACUGCUGCCUGGCACGAAGCCAAAGGCAUGUUAUAAUUCAUACCCCCCUGAAUAAACUCUUUUACCCCUAAAAACAGGGUGGCCACACCCAGCCUACCUUUUGGGAAUGGUCCCAAGAAUGUGCUGUUCUCUGCACUGAGAUAGCAGGUAUGUAUUUUCUGCUGGCUGAUGAUAAUCCAUGUCAAGGAACCAAAAAACAACAUAGACAAGCAUGGAGGAGUGUCAGAAGUGGUGUCGUGGCCCUGUUUAAUUUACUGGUCUAGACACAGCCAUUAAUACCAAGAGUUUAGCAGGAUUCUUGGAAGGGCCAAUGCAUUUAUAUGGCCAGUGAGAAUAUUCAGAGGAAUGGGAAAAAUAUUUCAAAAGCAAAAAAACCCCAACUAGGAUCAGAUUUUUGGAACUGGUAAAGUAUUAAUUUCUUCUGUCAGUUUACACAGGGUUUCUGGUAUCCUCCCUAGCAGCAACUGGUGCUGCAGGUUUUUGGGAAGAGGAUGCUGGACAUAACAGCCCUCUGUCUACUCUGCUAUGUCAGUCCUGGUGUUAACUGCCACACAGUGUUACAUUUGUGGUAGAAUCUGUGAGGAAAAUGUGAAAAUACCUCUCUCAGGCCCUCUGAGUUCCUUGGCUCACUCUCUGAUAUGAACAGAGAAAAGCCUGGAGCUGGAAGCUGACAGCUGGCUUCUGCCCAGGGCUCCAUCGAGGUUAGGGGGCCUGAGUGCACCAGCCCUGCUGAGUGAAGCUGUUCUGCCUCACACCUGGGAUGGUACAUUGAAACAAAUGUGGAUUUAGUUUGUAAGGCUGUUUUACUGCCUAAUAUCCUUAUACUUGUGGGAAGGAUAGGUCUAAGCUGUGUCUGUCACGAUUUUUGCAGUGAAUUCUUCAGCUGAUCCCCAGCUUAGGCUUUUUCUCUUGCUUUCUUAUUUAAACCUAUCUAAAUGAAGACAUUUAGUCUCCCCCAUACACACAUACCACAGCUUGCAUCCUUUAUCUGUUCUCUUACCUCCAGCAUUCAAUUUGGGAUCUUGCUCCAAAUAUGCCUGUGGUGUGAUGAGCUGGGGAGAUUUAACUUCCAAUUGAGCUUCCUUUUGUGAAAGUCCAUGAGAGAGAAGCAGCAGCUGUAGAAGAGAGGGCAGAAGCAGCUGUGUAGAAAUGGCACCAUGGGCAGACCCAGUCACUCAUUCUUAGAGCAGCCAACUCACAUGAUUGCCCUGGCUGGAAAUACCAAUAGAUUAUGGGAAGUUUGGAAUAGCCACAAGCAUCAUCUGCACCCUCUUUCCUGAGGGUAGAAUCUGGUACACAAACACAGAUAGCCAUUAUAGGAAAAAAUACAGUGAUACCUGAGCGAAGAACCAGUGUUAGCAACUCAGCUGGAAUCUCAGUAGUGUCUGUAGCAGGAUCCCAAGGGAAUUGCAUGGACAGGUCAGUUUGCAUGGCCAUGGUACAGACACAAUGCUUCUUAGUGUGGGAAUGAAGACAUGGGUUGUGUAGUCCCUCUGGGAGACCCUGAGCCACAAUUCCUCAUGUCACACUGUUCCCUUCAGGUGAGUGGCACUGUCUUUGAUUGGUAAUAGUUGGUCUGCAGAUACUUUAUGUGCAGUGCCCAUUUACAUUGAAGAAAUAUUAUCCUGGAUAAUAUAUCUGUAUGAAAGGCAGGUUUCAGGUAUGAGGUGAAAUGUAAAGCCACAUCUCACGUUGACUACAAAUUCUCACCAGAAACGGGCUUUGGAAAUACAGAAUCAGACCCAGGCAAAAUCUAAGCGCAGUUUGUCCCUAUUCUUUCUUGUGGGCGAUAUUCCAUCCAUUACUGAGGCUUAGCACAAAGCAUAGCCAACGCUUAAACCCUCAGCAGGAUGUUAAGUGAUGUCUAGGCUUUGUGCUGGGUCUCUGCAGUAGCAUGAAUUUUUACCAGUGAGGAGAAGGGUUGCUUUGUUCAUAUUGAAAAGUACACAGCCAGCCUUCUCUGUAGCAUGCCUCCUAAUUUAGUUUUGAUUUAAUCCUUUGCAUUGAGGGGAUGCUGGUUGCCCUAAAAGAAUAAAAGCUGCCACUCUGAGGCAUGUGCCUUUUGCUAUCCAUGUGAUCCAAAUAGUUACAUUCAAAUCAAAUCAAAGCACUUCAAGGGCCAAAUGUAGAGCAGUUUUCCUUACUUGGCAUAUAAAAUUUUACUUCCUUUUUUCAAUAUUUUAAGGCAAAUUAAAAGCAGUAUUCUAAAUGCUGAGGAUAAAGGACAGUAGCCUCAUACAUGCAAGUACUCCCACACUUCUUAUUUCAUGUGAUUUUCCACUAGCAGCUGCUUUUUGAAUGCUGGGACAUCAGAUGUGGCCAUGUCUCCUUUGCAUCAUAGGUUUCUAGUGAAUGACUCAAGGAUUUGGGCUGUGAAAUAAUUAUCAAGUAAAAAGAGGAGCUAAAAAGCCCUGAAAAACAAAAUAUAAAAACAAAGUUUUGGUUCAGUGGCUUGGUAAAUAUUCCAGGAACUACUCUUCUUUCUAUGGUAUUAGCGAGGAAAUCCUCCCUCCUUUUCCCUGUCUCCUUGUAGAGGCUUAUGUAUCUGGUCCUCAUUAAGGGGUGGUUAUAGCAGUGGGAUCAAACGAGCUCACACUAUAGUUGUGAGGAGCUGCAGUCUCCUGGUUCAGGCAGGGGGUUGUGGCUCAGACAUCCUGACUUGCAUUCCUGGGUUUGACUCACAGUCAGGCUAUGGACAAGUCCCAGGUACCCAGAACCCUUUUUAUCUGUGUAUCAGGUACGCACAGCACUCUCCAACUGUGUGCUGAGGCUGGGAGAUGUGUGAGGUUCUCUUGAGUUCCUUUGGAGUAUUUAGCUUAUAUAGACUUACCUUGACAACACAGAUGUCCUGACAAGAAGGAUUGUCACAUGGCUACAGGAUGGAAAGAGUUAGCCCCAUCCCUCCAAUAGCUGUGCUGUCCUACCACAUCUCAGCUAUCUUCAGAAAUUUAUCUCCUACAUCUAAGGGUGGGGGUCCACUAAGAAAUUAAACAAGCCAGGGAAUGCUGCAGGGCACAGGAUUUGAAAUGCUGCUGUACUGUCAGAAGGGCCCUUGACACUGGUGUAGUGGAGGGCCCUAGCCAUGUUCAAACAGUCCCCUGUCAUGACCUGGGAGCCUGCCAUGACCCUACACAGACACCAUAAUGAGGAGAGCAGAAAGAUUUACUGGCCUGACUGGCAGCUGUAUGGUGCAGUCUGGCCUCAGGCCUAGAGCUUGGACACAUUUAACUUCCUAAUACAGACCAAGUCUAGGACCUGGAAAGAUAAAGUCACUUUCAGGGUCUGAGUCAGCCCAGCCAGGACCUGAAUUACUCCUGAAGGUAUCUCUCUGUCUGUCUGCAGCGGAAGACGUAAGUGUUAUCUUCUUCAGUAGCUGUCUCAGCCGUAGGCGUGCAGUCAGGGUAGAGGAAUCUGGGCAAGUAAGGGAAGCCAAGAUGUAUGGGAUUAGACCAGAGGAGUGCAUUUUCACUUGUACUCUGCCAGAUGAUAAAUUAAUUAAUUGAUUGAUAUUGGUUUUAAUCCCCACAUCCUGGGUCUUUAAUCACUAAUAAAAACAUUUAGAGCUUUGAAAGUUAAUCUGGAUGGUUUUGGAAUAUCAGAAUUUGAUAUUUUCAUCCACCCAGCAUCACAGACUGCUUUAUAAAUUGUAAUUCCUUUCCAUAACAUUCUAAGAGGCCUCUGAGUAGCAGUGUCCCUGCUCAAUGAAUGUGUAGACUGAGGUACAGAGAGGUGAAAGCAUGGUUUGUCCUUUCUCUCAUAUACCUAUUCAGAGAUGAAGCUGGAAGUGCAGGCCCUGGGACUUGGUUCCUACUCCUCCAAACCUGCCAGCCAAGGAAGUGUCUUGCUUUGUUUUAAUGAAGCUCUGUUUGCCAUUUCAUUUUACAGACUGUUAGCACAGAAUAAUGGGAAGUGGAUACCCUGAUGGACUACAGGAAGCCUUUAUAAUUUGUCAAACUACAAUUAAUAGCUGGCAAGCUCAAGACCAUCUCUCUGUCAGUAAAUACCAUUUGGGCCAGAGUCACUUAAAGGUUUCUGUCCUUGUGCCUCCAAGUUGGCAAGGUCAGCUGCAGACCAGGCUGGAAUCUGAAUCCCCAAGUGGAGAAGCAAUCCUGAUCCUGCAGAGCCCUCUUAGAAACUAUAUCCCAGCCUCCAAGAUCAUAAGUCUUUUACAUCUGGUCAGAAUAAAGACAGAUAGACAGUAAGCAAAGGGCAAAGUCUGAUUUGUGUUUUUUAAUGGAGUUUUGUCCUCAAGCUCUUCUCCAAGGUGAAUUUUCUUGCCAGACAUUAUCAGCUUCAGUGGUUUGGCUCAGAUUUUUGCUCCAGAUUCUUUUGUCCGGUUGACUUUUGGAUCAACUCUGCACUGGCUCUGUUUUGAAGAUUGCUUUACCCAUAUUAAUGUUUAACUUAAACAAGUAUUAAAUCAUAAGUUUAACAUGGAAAUGUUUUAGUCUCUGGGCAGUUCCUUUCCUUGAUGAUUUCACACUGUACAUAAGUACAGCUUCACUUGGCAGGAUUUCAUCUAUUCGGUGCUGGUCUCAUGACACUCUGUUAUUAUUGUGGCCUUAAUUCAGAGGAAAACAAUAAAAUAAACCCCACUAUGGUGUUGUAGGCAA